rnacentral:rRNA from 1 species
GAUGAACGCUGGCGGCGUGCCUAAUACAUGCAAGUCGAGCGAACAGACGAGGAGCUUGCUCCUCUGAUGUUAGCGGCGGACGGGUGAGUAACACGUGGAUAACCUACCUAUAAGACUGGGAUAACUUCGGGAAACCGGAGCUAAUACCGGAUAACAUGUUGAACCGCAUGGUUCAACAGUGAAAGACGGUCUUGCUGUCACUUAUAGAUGGAUCCGCGCCGCAUUAGAUAGUUGGUAAGGUAACGGCUUACCAAGGCAACGAUGCGUAGCCGACCUGAGAGGGGGAUCGGCCACACUGGAACUGAGACACGGUCCAGACUCCUACGGGAGGCAGCAGAAGGGAAUCUUACGCAAUGGGCGAAAGCCUGACGGAGCAACGCCGCGUGAGUGAAGAAGGUCUUCGGAUCGUAAAACUCUGUUAUUAGGGAAGAACAAAUGUGUAAGUAACUAUGCACGUCUUGACGGUACCUAAUCAGAAAGCCACGGCUAACUACGUG